UGAACGCUGGCGGCGUGCCUAAUACAUGCAAGUCGAGCGAACGGACGAGAAGCUUGCUUCUCUGAUGUUAGCGGCGGACGGGUGAGUAACACGUGGAUAACCUACCUAUAUGACUGGGAUAACUUCGGGAAACCGGAGCUAAUACCGGAUAAUAUUUUGAACCGCAUGGUUCAAAAGUGAAAGGCGGUCUUGCUGUCACUUAUAGAUGGAUCCGCGCUGCAUUAGCUAGUUGGUAAGGUAACGGCUUACCAAGGCAACGAUGCAUAGCCGACCUGAGAGGGUGAUCGGCCACACUGGAACUGAGACACGGUCCAGACUCCUACGGGAGGCAGCAGUAGGGAAUCUUCCGCAAUGGGCGAAAGCCUGACGGAGCAACGCCGCGUGAGUGAUGAAGGUCUUCGGAUCGUAAAACUCUGUUAUUAGGGAAGAACAUAUGUGUAAGUAACUGUGCACAUCUUGACGGUACCUAAUCAGAAAGCCACGGCUAACUACGUG
rnacentral:rRNA from 1 species